rnacentral:rRNA from 1 species
AACGAACGCUGGCGGCGUGUUUAAGACAUGCAAGUCGCACGGUGUCAUUUUGGUAGCAAUACUUUGAUGGCGACCGGCGCACGGGUGAGUAACGCGUAUGUAACCUACCCUGUACAGGGGGAUAGCCCGGAGAAAUUCGGAUUAAUACCCCAUAAUGAUAUUGAUUGGCAUCGAUUGAUAUUUAAAGUUUCGGCGGUACGGGAUGGGCAUGCGUAACAUUAGCUGGUUGGUAGGGUAACGGCCUACCAAGGCUACGAUGUUUAGGGGUCCUGAGAGGGUGAUCCCCCACACUGGUACUGAGACACGGACCAGACUCCUACGGGUGGCAG